AGGACGAACGCUGGCGGCGUGCUUAACACAUGCAAGUCGAGCGGUAAGGCCUUUCGGGGUACACUAGCGGCGAACGGGUGAGUAACACGUGGGUGAUCUGCCCUGCACUUCGGGAUAAGCCUGGGAAACUGGGUCUAAUACCGGAUAUGACCUCAGGUUGCAUGACUUGGGGUGGAAAGAUUUAUCGGUGCAGGAUGGGCCCGCGGCCUAUCAGCUUGUUGGUGGGGUAAUGGCCUACCAAGGCGACGACGGGUAGCCGACCUGAGAGGGUGUCCGGCCACACUGGGACUGAGACACGGCCCAGACUCCGUACGGGAGGCAGCAGUGGGGAAUA
rnacentral:rRNA from 1 species